AAUCAACGCUGGCGGCGUGCCUAACACAUGCAAGUCGCACGAGAAAGGGACUUCGGUCCUGAGUACAGUGGCGCACGGGUGAGUAACACGUGAAUAAUCUACCUCCGAGUGGGGAAUAACUGAGAGAAAUCUUAGCUAAUACCGCAUAACACUUACGAGUCAAAGCAGCAAUGCGCUUGGAGAGGAGUUCGCGGCAGAUUAGUUAGUUGGCAGGGUAANGGCCUACCAAGACGAUGAUCUGUAUCCGGCCUGAGAGGGCGCACGGACACACUGGAACUGAAACACGGUCCAGACUCCUACGGGAGGCAGCAGUGGGGAAUUUUGCGCAAUGGGGGAAACCCUGACGCAGCAACGCCGCGUGGAGGAUGAAAUCCCUUGGGAUGUAAACUCCUUUCGAUCGGGAAGAUAAUGACGGUACCGAGAGAAGAAGCCCCGGCUAACUUCGUGCCAGCAGCCGCAGUAAG
rnacentral:rRNA from 1 species